CGCUUCUCGCACAGCUUCCCGACCCGUCUGCUGAGCCCCAUGGCCCGCGCCACGCUCUCCACCGCCCCCAGCAAUCCCCGGCUCCUGCGGGUGGCGCUGCUGCUCCUGCUCCUGGUGGCCGCCGGCCGGCGCGCAGCAGGAGCGUCCGUGGUCACUGAACUGCGCUGCCAGUGCUUGCAGACCCUGCAGGGAAUUCACCUCAAGAACAUCCAAAGUGUGAAUGUGAAGUCCCCAGGACCCCACUGCGCCCAAACCGAAGUCAUAGCCACACUCAAGAAUGGGAAGAAAGCUUGUCUCAACCCGGCAUCCCCCAUGGUUCAGAAAAUCAUCGAAAAGAUACUGAACAAGUGAGUUGUAAUUUCCAUAUACACGGGCGACUGGAGCCGUUGGUCAGAAAUACUGGCAUCUGCCCCCUAAAAAUAAAAUCAGGGAACCCCAAGAGUUAGCUGAAGGACUAGAAAUUGUGAUUAUUAUUUUCACAAUUAAAGUUGCCAUUAAGGUUAUUAAUCUGCUCUGGUGCCAGAGGAUAUUUCAGUAUUUUAGUGUCUUCCAUUUCCAGGCCUAACCCCUGGGAGGGUAAAUGUGGGUUUCUAGAAUACUAAGUAAAUUUGACUAACAAUGCCAAAAUGCCCCCUGCCUGUUUUGGGACGUUUACCUCAGUCCCUAAUGGGCUUCAGACCUGAAAAAUGCAAUGUCUGGUUUGGGCACUUUGGGCCUGUAAGCCUUCUUGGUGAAGAGCAGAAACUUUGCAGUGACACCUUCAGUGAGUUCAAGGCUAGGAUCC
rnacentral:sRNA from 1 species